rnacentral:tRNA from 1 species
AGAUUGAUCCGGAACAGGACGUGCCGUACGUGCUUGAGACGAUUAAACUGCUUGUCAAUGAGCAGCUGAACGUCCCG